UACGGAGGGGGCUAGCGUUGUUCGGAAUUACUGGGCGUAAAGCGCACGUAGGCGGAUUGUUAAGUCGGGGGUGAAAUCCCGGGGCUCAACCCCGGAACUGCCUUCGAUACUGGCAAUCUAGAGUUCUGGAGAGGUGAGUGGAAUUCCGAGUGUAGAGGUGAAAUUCGUAGAUAUUCGGAGGAACACCAGUGGCGAAGGCGGCUCACUGGCCAGACACUGACGCUGAGGUGCGAAAGCGUGGGGAGCAAACAGG
rnacentral:rRNA from 1 species